CUCGGCAUCGGUCCAUAAAAAUCAUCAGGGCAGAAUUUUCAGCAAAGGAAGCCAAACCCAUUAAAACAUUUUAGACUCUUCUUCUAUCCUCUUUUCCCCCUUUCCCUCCUUCUGUCUCUUGUGGGUCCCAAAGAGACCUUUUUGUUUUAAAACUCCUAUCAGUCACUUGGCAUCUGCAAGCUAUAACUUAGAGAAAGAGCUCCACUGAGUGAAAUUCAAGAGUUUAUUGAGUGAAAUCAGAGAUUAUUUCCCCUUACCCUGUUACCUAGUAGGGACCAAGCCAUCAUCCCAAGUGUGUGUUACACUUCUAAAGAAGUUGUUCAACUUGACUGCCCAGUUCCAAAGUUGCAGUCAGUAUCCUCCUGAGAACAUGUGGAACUCUUGUCUUCUCUUGUUUUGGGGUUUGUUUGUUUUUUGUAGAAGGGCGUCAUUUCAUCUCAGAGGAGACCAGGAAGAAAGAUCUCUACAACAGAUUACAGCUGGAAAAGCGCAGUCAAAGCCUACCCCCAAUACCUAUUUCUGAAGCCACAGCCAUGUCCUCUGAGUUCUUGCAAAAACCAUCACAAGGUAGAGAGGUAAAGCUUUAUCGGUCAAGAUUCUUGGAAGACAGUCUGUUAAACUGGAGGAAAUGAUCCAAAUUACUGAAAACUUUCCUUAUAUUUCUGUAGAAACUAUUAUCUAUGUGAAUAAAAAACAACAGGGUAUGCUCUGUGUUCUGUAUAUAUAUAUGUGUGUGUGUGUGUGUGUGUGUGUGUGUGUGUCUGAUUCAAUUCAAUUCAAUCAAUUCAAUGAAUAUUUAUUGAAAAAUACUUAUCUGAGAACAUUAGUGCUUUUUUCUUUACUGUAUGUUUCAUUUAGAUCACAUUUGAACUUGUCUCAGCACUUUAAAAUUAUAAGGGACAAAUAUGUUCCAAGUGGUCUUUCAUCUUGUAACUAAUAGACAUCUUGAUCAAUGACUAUUACAUUUUUUUCAUGAUAUAAUACUGCCUAUUAUUUUGUCUCUAACCUGUUUUAUUGUGGCAAUUGGUUGAUGAUGCCAUAUCGGAUAGAACAGCAAUUUCUGUUUGAAAGAAAAAAAAUCAUGCUAGCAUGAAUGAAGGUCUAAUUUCUCUGAUAUGAGAAGUAAAUAUCAAUCAUCAAUUGUGUUUUAUCCACUUAACAUAAAAGUAAGUUUAAAUGGAAUGUGGGUAAAUCCGAAGUCUCCAAAAUUAUAGCAAAGUUAACAUGUCAAAUCUCUUCAGGUGUUGUGGGAGAGGAGGUGGAGAUGGGAUCAGGUCUGUGAUUUCUUUGGUUGAGAGAACUUCCUCUAUGAAUGCCAAGUAUCAUGAGCUCUGAAACUUGGAAUCUCAGAAAGUUGCCUGAAAUAUUGAAAAAUCUAGUGAUUUGUCUAUGAUUAUACCACUUUACAUAGCUUGUGUCAGAAAUAAAAUUUGAAACAAA